ACCGAUUGAGCCACCCAGGCGGCCCUGGGGGCACCUAUUGCAGGAAGCAUGUGCCACAUUGCUUAUUAUCUACUGAGGCCAGGGUAAGAAAGACUGAGGUAAAGGGACUCAAGGACAUGCCAGGAAAGAAAGAAGACCAGAAACUUCCAAGAAUUGGAACAGACAGGGAGCACUGAAGCAGAGAAAAGGGAGAGAAGUUUCCACAAGCCAGCUAUGCUCUACUGCUCAUUGCAUUUGACAUGCUUCAUGAUGAGUGAGGGAUACAGAAUGAAGGUAUAGAAAGAGGAUUUUUGAAGAUUUCUUUAAUAGAGUGGUGCUAUGAAACCUUAUCCUUCCUGACUGGCAAGAUUCAUCUUCACACAAAAGAGAAGUUUCUUAAAGAGAUCACUUGAAGAGCUCAAUAAAAUACAAUGAGAUAUAGAGGACAAAGUGAAUUGGAAUCUAACUCAUGAAUAACAAUCAAAAUGAUCUCUCCAACAGAGCCAUGCUAAGUGUGAACAAAUCAUCAUAAAAAGAAGCAGAUGUAUGCCUGGAUUCCUGGGGGCUGAUGAAGUAAUGAAUUGGCAGCCAGGAUAGAAAUGCUCUUAUUUCACUUAAGAAAUAUAUCCUGAGAAAAGUGACUGUUAUAUGACAUUUUCUAUCUCAACAGUGUGAAUGCAGACCAGAUGUGAGAUGCAGUGGUCGCCAUAAGACAUUAAAGGAAUCCACAAAAAGUGACGUCUUUUUAUGAUGUUUUAUCAAGGAUAAUUGAUCAAGGCAUGCAUCAAGGCAGGUGCUGAGAUCCACUUGUCUUACUGCCACUCAAGACAAACUUCAUACCUAAGUUUCCUUCACUUAUUAAA